rnacentral:rRNA from 1 species
GUGGGGAAUAUUGGACAAUGGGCGAAAGCCUGAUCCAGCCAUGCCGCGUGUGUGAAGAAGGUCUUCGGAUUGUAAAGCACUUUAAGUUGGGAGGAAGGGCAUUAACCUAAUACGUUAGUGUUUUGACGUUACCGACAGAAUAAGCACCGGCUAACUUCGUGCCAGCAGCCGCGGUAAUACGAAGGGUGCAAGCGUUAAUCGGAAUUACUGGGCGUAAAGCGCGCGUAGGUGGUUCAGCAAGUUGGAGGUGAAAUCCCCGGGCUCAACCUGGGAACUGCCUGCAAAACUACUGAGCUAGAGUACGGUAGAGGGUAGUGGAAUUUCCUGUGUAGCGGUGAAAUGCGUAGAUAUAGGAAGGAACACCAGUGGCGAAGGCGACUACCUGGACUGAUACUGACACUGAGGUGCGAAAGCGUGGGGAGCAAACAGGAUUAGAAACCCUGGUAGUCC